CGCGGAGCUGGUGGCGGCAGGCGCGGAGGUGGCGGCGUUUCGGCCCCGCUCGAUGUGAGGCGGAGCGCGGCCCAGGCAAGCGGCGUGCGAGGGGCGCGGGGCCUCCGCGCCGCGGGCGGGAGAGUUCACAAUGACAAAUGAAGAACCUCUCCCAAAGAAGGUUCGCCUUAGUGAAGCAGAUUUUAAGGUUUUACCUAGAGAUGAGCUUAUCCUAAGGUGGAAACAAUAUGAAGCAUACGUGCAAGCUCUGGAGGGCAAGUACACAGACCUUAAUUCUAACGAUGUGACGGGGCUGAGAGAAUCUGAAGAGAAGUUGAAACAGCAGCAGCAAGAGUCUGCCCGAAGAGAAAAUAUUCUGGUGAUGAGGCUGGCAACUAAGGAACAGGAGAUGCAAGAGUGUACUAAUCAGAUUCAGUACCUCAAGCAAGUCCAGCAGCCUAGUGUUGCCCAACUGCGAUCAACAAUGGUGGACCCAGCCAUCAACUUGUUUUUCCUAAAAAUGAAAGGUGAACUGGAACAGACUAAAGACAAACUGGAACAAGCCCAAAAUGAACUGAGUGCCUGGAAAUUUACGCCUGAUAGAGGCCUGACAGCGUCGGACUAUUCUGAAGAAAUGGCCAUCUUCGAAAAAAAUCUUUUCUAGAACAUGUAGACAUUUGCAAAAUUGUUCUAUUUGAAGAAAAUAGAGGGAGAAACAGAAGUCUUAAGUCUGUGGCACACUGUGUCUACAGACAGUUUGGAGGAGAGAGAACCUAGAGAUUAUAAAUCAUGAAUUGAACAUGUAAAAUUCCCGUAAAAUGUAGAAGUGGAAUAUGCUUCGCUCUUAACCUUGAGCCUAGUGACUUAGAGACACUGUAAGUCAGUUUUGCCAAUAAGACUGUGGACUUCCUGCUUGUUCACUGAACUGCUGGGUCAAAACUCGAUGAGGUGAAUUUUGCAUUAAAGAGUUUACUUGCUAACCAGUUUUGAAUAGCCACAAGAGUGCUAUUUGAUAUCACAACAGUGGUAGUGUACACAUUUGACUGUUUAGCCUUUGGGCUCUAGCACUUGAUGCAGCCUUAAGUCACUGUUGCUAAAUAAUGAACUGUUUUCUGGAUGGUUGGUAAUAUUGUGGACGCCUCAAAAUUAGAACUGUACAAAAAUGUACAUUCCAUCUAAAUGCAGGUUUAAAAUUGUCUGAAGCAACAUAUAUUUGAUCACAACUAGCAUGUAUAAGAAAAACUGGUUGUGAUAAGAAUUUCACUGCAUGUUUUCAUGCAGAAAUGAGAAUUUUUCGAUCUUCAUACUAAGAACUGAUCUCAAAUGCUUAAUACAGAAGGCACAAGAUGGCAACUGUCUUCAGUGUUGGUGGGGUAUUUUUAUUCCGUUGUACACCUGGGUUUUUUUGUAUUGUGCUUCUCUAUAAAAUGUGCCUUGAAAUAGUUGUAAUACGUAGUUCAAGGAACACUUCUGGAUAUACUGUUGUAUCGUGAAACUCCUGGGAUGAACGAGAAUUGAACAGGUUGUUAUUUCUGCAUUGUCUCGUUCGCUGCAAACGAAGUCAGUAUUUUAACAAACCAAAAAAACCUUAAAUGCAUGCAUUUUUGUUGGUGGAUUCAGUGAAGGAGUUUUUGCUGCUCUAUUGAUGCCUCUGUUCUGUUGUCCCAAGUUACUUGUAAGAGUAGCAAUCUGGGACAGUUGGGAGUGCACCUCUGAGGUCUGUAAAGCAAAAUGUAGAUUUGGUGUAGCAUUUGUGUGUUUGUUUUCUCCCGUAGCAAAUAGAGGUCUGUUUAGUAAUCUGAGGUUUUAAUUUUUCAAAACAGUUGGGCAACGUUUUAUGACUCAGUUUAAAAAAAUUAAUUUUUAAAUUAAAAAGACAUUCAGCUGUCACAGAAGGUGAUGUAUUCUAACUGUUUUGGUGACUUCUAUUAAGAUGCCGUAACAUAAUUUUGAUUUGGAAGUAUCUUUAACUGUUUGUGCUUCAGGUGAUUAAUACGGGAUCAAAGCGUAUGCAGGUUUAUUUUUUUUUGCAUGAGUAAUGACCUAACAGCAAAAAGAAAAAUCCACAGAAAAAUUUUACCUUUUUAAAAGUGAUACAUCCGGAAUGAUUUUGCUAUAGCAGUAUCUAAGAUUUUAUUGAUCUAGCAUCAAAACAGAGGUAAGACUUAUAUUAAUAAAUCGUUAAUGUGUUACCAAGGCAUUUGUAAAGCUUGCUAUAAUGUGUUGAAAGAAGCAUGCCAUGCAGAUUGCUUAUUUCUAACUUGGGAGUUCAGAAAAUUAUUUAAUACAUUUAGAUACAGGUUGAUGGUUUUCUAAAGUCCUCAGGCUCUGAAUGUGUGAGUACAGCUGAGGAGAGAUGAGUAACUUGCUACUUCCUUUCAAACUCAAGUGUCAAAAGAAAAUGUUAUUUCUGUAGCUGCAACAUACCCUAAUUUACAUUAUACAAUUUUAAGUCAGUGGUGUGAAUGUGCAUAAUUCAUACAUGCAGUGGCUGGAAUAUAGAAAGUUAUAGUUAUUUCCUGGUAAAUUAUUGAGGCUUUGUUAAAUGGGUUAAGAUUUUACUGCUUUUCAUUUCUUGAAAGGUGAAGUAAUAGGCUCAUGUAAAAUAUUUGUAGGUGUUUUUUUAUUCUUUGCAUCUUGCCCCUCUCCCCCUUAAUUGCUUUAAUUGUCCAUACUUGUACACAACUACUCAUUUCAUGGCAUCUGGCCUGGUUUUUAGAAGAGGCAAUGGCCCUAUUCAGAUCCUAAACUGAUGUCCUUGGGGUGGAUAACAUGUUAACUGCAGCCCUAAGCAGAGUUAGUUCCGGACCUUAGUGUAGAUAAGGCUGUGCAGCAUAAACAUUGCUGAUGUCUGAAGGGGGAAAUGAAAGGGCAUGUAAUCAAAGGAAUGGUUAUGCUAAGCCAUUUUAACCAUCAUUAAGCAGAGUAUAGAUAUGGAAAAAAAUUAGUUGAAAUGUCAUUUUGCAGUAAGCCUAGUACAACAAACUUUAGUCUUCUGAAAUUUAACCACUUAUAUUCUUACAGGUUUUGUUGCAUGUAUGUUCAAGAGGAUUUGUGAAAACAAUGCUGAACUUAGUUUUACAGAUCAUAGGAAUUGUUUUAAUAGUUAAUGGAUUUAAUGCUCUUGAAUAUAUUGUCCUUUUUGUAAAUUGCAAGGGUUAUUCUCUGCUAGUUCAGAACAUCUGGAAAAAUUCUGAUGGGAAGAAAUAGCAUUAUAGGUAACUAUGCAAAUUUCUAUACAGGUAAUAAAUAUUUUACAUUUUGGCAGGAGUUAACCUGAAGAUAUUAAUGGGAUUCUAAAUUUGUCCCAAUUCCAAGGUAACUGGUACUUCCUGAUUCUGCAGUUGAUGUUGGUUUGUGAAGAGAAAAACAUUAAAUGACUUAAGCAUUGUAAACUUUUUCUACUUGCAGUAAUAAUGAAUACAGUAACAGGAAUUUGCCAAUGGCUAAAAAUCAUGUCUGCCUAAUAACUUUUGGGAUCUGUCACAUUGGUUAUCUCCAAAGUGGUCCUGCUUUGCACAGAAUGAACAUCUCUAAGGAAACUUGCAUCUUAAAUGUGCGACUUGGACUGUAUUAGGUCGGCACAAUUUAAACUUCAAGGACCUGGCAUUGGACAUCACAUCAAGAAAGAAAACAGGCUGCUGCCUUUAGCAGAUUUUCAGGCCUCCAGGACUUUACACAGCCAGAUUCCUUCUGGAGCAGCCCAUCUGAAAGAUUUGGGAAAGUCAGUUGAAAAAUGUUAAAUGGGGCAGAGUUGGCAGAGAACUUAAAAGUUGUUCUAAGACUUGAGUGCUCAGAAGGUAGUUGAUAAGGAAAUUGCUGUUUUAAAUUCUUCUGGUUGGGUAUUUUGGUUGCAGGAGAGAACUGUGGCUGUGAUUGUAGCAGAAAUUUCCUGUUCUAUUUUUUUAAUCCUCAAUUUCUUUUCAGUAUUUGUCACUUGUUUAAAAGCAUAUAAAAAAUUAAAUGACCUUCUUGGUCUUGAAAAGUAACGCAAGUCUUGCUAUUGAAUUCACAAUAAAACUGUUUAAGUUUGGGGGUUUUGGCAGAGCUUACACUUCUAUAGAAAAGAAGACAGCUUCAUUAUGGUGCUGAGCCUAUUAAAAGAACUGUUUGGGGAUGCUAUCCUGACCUGGCAGACUAAGAGUCCUAAAGGACUUUAAUUUUUCUUUCGUGGAGUCAGCUGUAUUGCCUAUAUAUUAAUUUGCAUACUACUUCCUAUAAUGCUUUACAAUGAGAUUUUUAUCAUGAAGAUUAAAGAUGUGUAAUGGUACCAAUUUAGUAAAGAAAAUCUUGUCAGUUCCUACCUGUUUCACAUUUAUUUUAGAAACUGAAUGUCCUGAUGAUCAUUAUUUACAAUCUGAAAUCUGUCAUUUUAAAGGAAGUAAAUAAUAUACCCCUUCCUUGAUGUCCUUCCAAUGUUCAGCUACACUUGCAUUCCUCUUCAUACAGGAUAUACUUAAGAGAUGCUGACCAUAGAAAUCAUAAAGCAGACUCUGCAUGUGACUGUCAAACAUACAAGUAGUGUUGAAAAAUAGACACCUCAUUUUUUUAAACAAGAGUACCUGGACAGCAUUUAAAUAAAUGCUUAAACCCUUUAAGGAAAAAUGGUUGUCAAUAUGAAAAAUGAACAUGAGAUUUAUCAUUUCCCCCAAAGCAACUUCCUUCACCCAAAUUCAGCUAUUGCAUUUCAUUAGUGCAGUAAAUGGGGAAUGAUUGUGCUUAUAAUUUGCUCAUGUAGUUUCUGUGCAGUCCUUGAUCUUUUGAAUUGCAAAACACAUCUUUAAUCAAAUAUUUAACUCCGUUAAGAAUUGGCACAUGCAAGAUUGUGCAUACUGAUAAUCCAGAUGUUGGUAUCAAAAAAGUACAAUAUGCUUAUUCAUAUUUUCAGUAAUAAAACUUGCCUUCCACUUUGUGGGACAGCGACUGAAGAUCAACUGGCGUUGGAACAGCACGUGGUAACUAUAGGGAGACUUUCUGCUAUGACAAUUAUGUUGAGGCAUAAUGUUCCUUGAAUUGUGACAUGCAGAAAUUGCAUCUCCUUUUUGUCUGUAAUUGUGAUUGAGGAAGAUAACUAAAGGUUUUAUAUUCCUUUUGUGAUAGAUGGCUCUUUCCUUUGCAGCCAAACAGGGAAAAAGUUAAUGGCGAAGUGUCGAAUGCUUAUCCAGGAGAAUCAAGAGCUUGGAAGGCAGCUGUCCCAAGGCCGUAUUGCACAGCUUGAGGCAGAAUUGGCUUUACAGAAGAAAUAUAGUGAGGAACUUAAAAGCAGUCAGGAUGAAUUGAAUGACUUCAUCAUCCAGCUUGAUGAGGAGGUAGAGGGUAUGCAGAGUACCAUUCUAGUUCUUCAGCAGCAGUUGAAGGAGACUCGCCAGCAGUUGGCACAGUACCAGCAGCAGCAGUCCCAGGCCUCCAACCCAGGUACCAGCAGGACUCCAUCCUCUGAGCCCACGGAGCAGGGAGAGGCCGUGGGCAAAGACUGCAGCCGCCUGGCAAACGGACCAAGCAACGGCAGCUCCUCCCAUCAGCGGACGUCUGGGCCUGGAUUUUAUAGGGAGGGUAGCGGCACGGAGGAUGACUUCCCAGCUUCUCCAGGGAAUGGUAAUAAGCUGUCCAACCACUCUGAAGAUAGAACUGGUAGAGGAAGUGGUAGCUACAUAAACCAGCUCAGUACUGGGUAUGAAAGUGUAGACUCUCCCACUGGCAGUGAAAACUCUCUCACUCACCACUCAAAUGACACAGACUCCAAUCAUGAUCCUCAAGAGGAGAAAACAGUGAGCAUGAAAGGUAACAGAACUGUGGGUUCUCGUCAUGUCCAGAAUGGUUUGGACUCCAAUGUAAAUGUGCAGGGUUCAGUUUUGUAACAUUUUUCUGCAAAAUUUUUAUACAGUGUCAUUGAAAUUGGGAGAGGAUACUGUCCAGGAGCCGUUUAAAUUAGUGCAUACUUGUCACAAUUUUGCCUUUUUGUGGGUUUCUUUUUGCUUCAAUACCUCUGCCACUUUGGAAAUUUUAACAGUUAAUUACGUUGAAUGUUGCUAAAAGGACGUUUGUGUAGCUCAAGUUAUUUUUAUAUGAGUUAAUGUGAAGUUGAAAUGGAAAAUAUUUCCAUAAAGUAUAACAUAAAUGAUGUCUGUACAAAUCUGUGUAUAUCUAGAACCUGUGCUGUGUAAGGGCAUUCUUACUCAUACUGUUAUACUUAACACCACCUUCAAGAUUUGUCAUAAUAGCUGUGGGUUUAUGACUGCCAAGUUUGCCCAGUACAGUAGUUUUAUCACUAAAAAGAUGGACUUACUGGAGUCCUGUAGUAGUUUCAGUGUUAAUUACAGUUUUUCCCACCAUACAUCUGUGCAUUUUCUCCUUAGGUGACCGAAUGUUUAUGAAUUGUGUGCAUAGUUACUCAGUUUUAAAGAACUGUUGUAUCCUGUUGAUGCAUAUUGCUCUGUGACUCCAAUAUUAUCUUACCUGUACUGACCAAACCUAAAUAAAAACUUUUAAUAAUGUAA